AUUGAACGCUGGCGGCAGGCCUAACACAUGCAAGUCGAGCGGUAGAGAGGUGCUUGCAUCUCUUGAGAGCGGCGGACGGGUGAGUAAUGCCUAGGAAUCUGCCUAGUGGUGGGGGAUAACGUUCGGAAACGGACGCUAAUACCGCAUACGUCCUACGGGAGAAAGCGGGGGAUCUUCGGACCUCGCGCCAUUAGAUGAGCCUAGGUCGGAUUAGCUAGUUGGUGAGGUAAUGGCUCACCAAGGCGACGAUCCGUAACUGGUCUGAGAGGAUGAUCAGUCACACUGGAACUGGGACACGGUCCAGACUCCUACGGGAGGCAGCAGUGGGGGAAUAUUGGACAAUGGGCGAAAGCCUGAUCCAGCCAUGCCGCGUGUGUGAAGAAGGUCUUCGGAUUGUAAAGCACUUAAGUUGGGAGGAAGGGUAGUAACCUAAUACGUUGCUACUUUGACGUUACCGACAGAAUAAGCACCGGCUAACUU
rnacentral:rRNA from 1 species